UAAGGAAUAUUGGACAAUGGUCGCAAGACUGAUCCAGCCAUGCCGCGUGCAGGAAGACGGCCCUAUGGGUUGUAAACUGCUUUUGUACCAGAGAAAACCUAUCUACGUGUAGAUAGCUGAUAGUAUGGUAAGAAUAAGCAUCGGCUAACUUCGUGCCAGCAGCCGCGGUAAUACGGAGGGUGCGAGCGUUAUCCGGAUUUACUGGGUUUAAAGGGUGCGUAGGUGGGCUUAUAAGUCAGCGGUGAAAUCUCCGAGCUUAACUUGGAAACUGCCGUUGAUACUAUAGGUCUUGAAUUAUCUGGAGGUAAGCGGAAUAUGUCAUGUAGCGGUGAAAUGCUUAGAUAUGACAUAGAACACCAAUUGCGAAGGCAGCUUACUACAUAUAAAUUGACGCUGAGGCACGAAAGCGUGGGGAUCAAACA
rnacentral:rRNA from 1 species